UAAGAGGGAACAUUUCUGUGAUCCGCCAUAGCGAGCUGCGCUCACUGCGACCUCACCAGUGGCUAACAGGCCCAAACAAAGACACAGUUAUUGAGCCUCUUUCAGCUUUCUGCCAACCAGUCCAGCGUUGGAAAGAACAUUUCCAUCCUUCAUCAUUACACAGCAGGUGGAAAACUUUGUGGGAAACGCGCUGAGCUCAGUGGACACGGCCUCUCCAAGAUCAGCUGUGACGACUACCAGGCCAUUCUGUCCUUUGUAAACACUGACAGAGCCACUGGAAGCUGCUGCUCACUGAUACUUUCUGCAAACAUCACUUUAUAUUAACUCUGUUUAUAUGAUUUAUAAAGUUGUUCUGAGUCUUAUUAUGUGCUUUAUAAAAGCUUUUUUCUA